ACAUAUCCGGGGGGUAUUUCCUUCUCAAGUCCUUAAACCUUUCCUAGGCCUCAUAAAGGGUUUCACCAUCUUUCUGUCUGAAGAUUUACACCUCAGCUCUCAAUCU